GACAUCACAGUCAGUCUAAGUCAUUAUGCAGAGCGCACGGAGGGGCGGUAACUAGGCUGGCAGACAUUGCGCUAAGCCAUGCCCCUCUGGUCCACAGAAUAUGUAUGAGGGGGGGCGGAUAGAUGGAGGAG